GAAAAAAAAAGUAUGCUAAUGAAUUGAAGACAGAGUUAGAAGCCUGAGUUAGAAAAAGUUCCAAAAUCGUAGGAAAAAAAAGGAUGAAGCUUUUAUUGCUUGUAGAAGAUUCCACUUCUCCAAAACCUUCUUUACUUGUAGUUGGGGAAAAGUGCUGGAUGUCGUUGACUAUUAAGGUAAAUUGGUCAAUUUAGGCGCUGUUUGAUUUGGAUCUCAUUGGGUCAGGUUAGACAAAAAUGUCUGACUCGAUCAGCUCCAUGUGUUUGAUAUGUCUUCUUUUUGCAUCUGACUGAGUCAACAAUGUCUAACUCGGUCGUCACAAAAAAUCUUGCUGACUGAGAAAGUAUGAAAUCGAUUCCACAAUUGCCCUUGAAUCAGCACCAACCUCACAUUGUCGUUCCUCAUAGCCAUCAAUUUAAUCCCUAGAAAGGGAAAAAGAAACACGAACAGAAGCAGCAAACAACGUGGUCUGGUGGAGGAUUAGCAAAAAGAAACACGAAAGGGCCAAAGGGGAAGGAAGGGUGGAGAAGAUUGGACCGGUGAUGGUAGAUCUGUCGAAGGGGGGCUGCUCCGGCAGCUCUUGUGUUGCUUCUUCUUUCCUGACCAGACAUAACGCGAAAAGGUUGUUGCCUCUUUUAUCUCGCCGGAAAAAGAGGGGCAAGAGGCUGUUGCCUCUUUAAUCUUGUCGGAAAAUGAAAACAACCACCAACAAGUAUUUCAUGUUUGGGUGUGGCUUCUUCUUUGAUUCUUUGACAGCAAGGAGGAAGAAAAAGAAAGAGAAAGACAAAGUAAAGAAGCAGCAAAAAGUAUACAUGUUUUUUUGGAUAUCAAAUUAUCAAUCAGGAAGGAAAAAGACAAAUAAACAAAAGGUGUAUAAGGUGUACACGACAUCAUUACUAAUAUUAAUAUUAUUAUUGUUAUUAUUAUUAUUGUUGUUAUUAUUAUUAUUAUUAUUAUUA